UCACGCCGGUCUAAACUCAGAUCAUGUAAAAUUUUAAAGGUCGAACAGACCUAAUACUCUUAACUGCUACACCAAGAAUUAAUUUUAAUCCAACAUCGAGGUCGCAAACUUCUUUUUCGAUUAGAACUCUCAAAAAAUAUUACGCUGUUAUCCCUAAGGUAAUUUUUUCUUUUAAUCACAAAAUAUGGAUCAAAUAAUCAUAUAUCAAUGUUUUUAUUAAAAAAAAAGUUAAUUAAAUUUUUCAAUCACCCCAAUCAAAUACAAUAUAAAAUUAAAAAUUUUUAUACCAAUAAAUAUUAAUAUUAAUAUUUAUAUAAAACUCUAUAGGGUCUUCUCGUCUUUCAAAAUAAUUUUAGCUUUUUAACUAAAUAAUAAAUUUUUAAUUUAAUUUAAAUAGAGACAGUCAUUUUCUCAUCCAACCAUUCAUACCAGCUUCUAAUUAAGAAACUAAUGAUUAUGCUACCUUAGCACGGUCAAAAUACCGCGGCCAUUUAACUACUCAGUGGGCAGGCUAGACCUAAAAUCAAAUUCAAUAGGACAUGUUUUUAAUAAACAGGUGAAAAACUCAUUUGCCGAAUUCCUUUACUUAACCUAAAACUUUAAAAUUAAUCCUACAUCAAAAUUAUACUAAUUUUAUCAUUAUUACUUAAUAUAAAAAAUUAAAAUUAAAAUUUCAAUAAAAAAUUUAUAGAAAAUAAAAAUCAAAUUUAAAAAAAAAUAAAUUAUAACAUUUUUCCAAUAAUAGACACUUCUAAUCUUAUAACUUUUUCUAAUUUCAUAUUCUAAUAAUCCUCUAUUUUCAAGCUUAUCCCUAAAAAUAUUAAAUAUUAAUAUUAAAAAAAUUAAAAAAUUAAAUUUUUAAUAAAUAAUAUUCUAAAUUAAAUUUUUUUCUUAAAAAACUAGAUAUAUUUAAAAACGAUUAACAUUUCAUUACAAAAAACUUAUUAAUAAUAUUUUUUAAACAAUAAAAAAUAUAAGUUCUUAACUCUUUUAAAUUCGAGAUAAUAAAAUCUUUUAAAUUAAUUAAUAAACCCUGAUACACAAGGUACAAAAAUUUAAACCUUCUUAUAAUCAAUUAAAUAAAUUCUUUCACAAUACUCAUAAACUAUCAUAAAAAAUAUUUUUUCUAUAUAAAUAAUAAAAAAUAAAUUACUUAUAAUAAAAUAAAAUUAAAUAUUAAUAUUAAUAAUUUUUUAAUU
rnacentral:rRNA from 1 species